UUAACACAUGCAAGUCGAACGAAGAUAUUUCUUAUGAGAGCUUCGGCAGGAUUUUUAUCCAUCUUAGUGGCGGACGGGUGAGUAACGUGUGGGCAACCUGCCCUGUACUGGGGAAUAAUCAUUGGAAACGAUGACUAAUACCGCAUGUGGUCCUCGGAAGGCAUCUUCUGAGGAAGAAAGGAUUUAUUCGGUACAGGAUGGGCCCGCAUCUGAUUAGCUAGUUGGUGAGAUAACAGCCCACCAAGGCGACGAUCAGUAGCCGACCUGAGAGGGUGAUCGGCCACAUUGGGACUGAGACACGGCCCAAACUCCUACGGGAGGCAGCAGUGGGGAAUAUUGCACAAUGGGCGAAAGCCUGAUGCAACAACGCCGCGUGAAGGAUGAAGGGUUUCGGCUCGUAAACUUCUAUCAAUAGGGAAGAAAGAAAUGACGGUACCUAAAUAAGAAGCCCCGGCUAACUACGUGCCAGCAGCCGCGGUAAUACGUAGGGGGCAAGCGUUAUCCGGAAUUACUGGGUGUAAAGGGAGCGUAGGCGGCAUGGUAAGCCAGAUGUGAAAGUCUUGGGCUUAACCCGAGGAUUGCAUUUGGAACUAUCAAGCUAGAGUACAGGAGAGGAAAGCGGAAUUCCUAGUGUAGCGGUGAAAUGCGUAGAUAUUAGGAAGAACACCAGUGGCGAAGGCGGCUUUCUGGACUGAAACUGACGCUGAGGCUCGAAAGCGUGGGGAGCAAACAGGAUUAGAUACCCUGGUAGUCCACGCCGUAAACGAUGAGUGCUAGGUGUCGGGGAGGAAUCCUCGGUGCCGCAGCUAACGCAAUAAGCACUCCACCUGGGGAGUACGACCGCAAGGUUGAAACUCAAAGGAAUUGACGGGGGCCCGCACAAGCGGUGGAGCAUGUGGUUUAAUUCGAAGCAACGCGAAGAACCUUACCAAGGCUUGACAUCCAGAUGAACGCUCUAGAGAUAGAAUUUGUCUUCGGAGCAUCGGAGACAGGUGGUGCAUGGUUGUCGUCAGCUCGUGUCGUGAGAUGUUGGGUUAAGUCCCGCAACGAGCGCAACCCUUAUCUUCAGUAGCCAUCAUUC
rnacentral:rRNA from 1 species